rnacentral:sRNA from 1 species
UCACAGGGAGCGUUUUGGCUUUGACUUGUUGAUUCGUAAUGCCUGUUAGGUUAGCUCUCGCCAAUGGUGAUUGAGUUUGGGAGUAGUUUAACUUGAGGGUCUCUGUUGCGGUGGCACUAGAUUUGGUUAUUGAACAUGUUGUCUACGGAUAGUUUAUUGAGCAUGUUAAUCACCUGUAGACUGAGGAAACUAACUACUCAAUUACCCCAUCCUCGGGAAUUUCUCAUCCAAUUGAUUUCUUUGUCUACACUGCUAUCGUUUACUUGCUCUUGCUGCUCGUUGUUCGAUUUUUGCAUUUUUCGCCUAUAUCACUCUAAUACUCGACUACCCAAUUGUCUGGCAACAGACUGUGCAGUCGAGUAUUCCUAGUACAUUUUCUGUCUGUUACUCGACUUGUCACUCGCCAACACUAGUGCUUGGCAACAAGCUGUGUUGGUCGAGUGUUUUAAUUGUUUCUUCUUGAAUUUCUGCUUCCUACAUGUUCACUUAGGCCUGCUAGAAACCCCAAAACCUGUUAUUGCUUGGCUUGACUCUGUGAACUCUGAUUGCAUUUUGAUUGUUAGCAUCACACCCAUCUGGAUUGGCAACCUUCAGUACUACAACGACAUGAUAGUGCUUUAGGUUAAUUGAUCUUAAAAAUCUACUAUCAUCAAACGUCAACACUGGCAUGUCUGUGUGGUGUUGGUGUCGAUCGACAUGAGGUGGGUGUUGUUCGACACCAUCGGGAAGAAGUUCCUC